UCCUACGGGGGGCAGCAGUGAGGAAUAUUGGUCAAUGGUCGGGAGACUGAACCAGCCAAGCCGCGUGAGGGAUGAAGGUACAGAGUAUCGUAAACCUCUUUUGUCAGGGAACAAAGGCGGGGACGUGUCCCCGGAUGAGUGUACCUGAAGAAAAAGCAUCGGCUAACUCCGUGCCAGCAGCCGCGGUAAUACGGAGGAUGCGAGCGUUAUCCGGAUUUAUUGGGUUUAAAGGGUGCGCAGGCGGUCUGUUAAGUCAGCGGUCAAAACCCGGGGCUCAACCCCGGCCCGCCGUUGAAACUGGCAGG
rnacentral:rRNA from 1 species